rnacentral:rRNA from 1 species
UACGUAGGGACCAAGCGUUGUUCGGAUUUACUGGGCGUAAAGGGCGCGUAGGCGGCAAUUCAAGUCAGUUGUGAAAUCUCCCGAGCUUAACUCGGAACGGUCAACUGAUACUGUUUUGCUAGAGUACAGAAGGGGCAAUCGGAAUUCUUGGUGUAGCGGUGAAAUGCGUAGAUAUCAAGAGGAACACCUGAGGUGAAGACGGGUUGCUGGGCUGAUACUGACGCUGAGGCGCGAAAGCUAGGGUAGCAAACGGG